rnacentral:lncRNA from 1 species
CUCAGGGCUCCAGUUAGAACCACAGAGAAAUCGGAGUUCCUGAGUGACUCUUCAAACCAAACCUUCAAAGACUCUGAAGGAGCAGAGGGGACACAAUGGAUCACUAACAGACAGGAUGAGGUCAGAGAACAAGACAUUGGCCACUUACUCCUUGUGAUGGUACUGAACAAGCAGAGAAGGCAGAAUCCCUCCCACUAUGGAUUUCUCACUCCUGUGAACAAAUGUCCACCCCCUUCCCAACUGCAAGAGGGUGAGUAGAAAAAUAGAAAAAUAGGAGAGCAUCAGAUGAUGUUGGAUAUCGUGAGAGUGUUACUUUAUAAAACUUAGUUCCAGUUAAAUGCACACAUUAUCUGUUUAAUGUAGAGAGUCUGUGUUCCCAAUGCCUGUGGGAGCUUCCACUUCUCAG